rnacentral:rRNA from 1 species
AUUGAACGCUGGCGGCAUGCUUUACACAUGCAAGUCGAACGGUAACAGGUUAAGCUGACGAGUGGCGAACGGGUGAGUAAUGCAUCGGAACGUGCCCGAUCGUGGGGGAUAACGCAGAGAAAGCUGCGCUAAUACCGCAUACGAUCUGAGGAUGAAAGCGGGGGACCGUAAGGCCUCGCGCGAUCGGAGCGGCCGAUGUCAGAUUAGGUAGUUGGUGGGGUAAAGGCCUACCAAGCCGACGAUCUGUAGCUGGUCUGAGAGGACGACCAGCCACACUGGGACUGAGACACGGCCCAGACUCCUACGGGAGGCAGCAGUGGGGAAUUUUGGACAAUGGGCGCAAGCCUGAUCCAGCAAUGCCGCGUGCAGGAUGAAGGCCUUCGGGUUGUAAACUGCUUUUGUACGGAGCGAAAAGGCUCUCUCUAAUACAGGGGGCUCAUGACGGUACCGUAAGAAUAAGCACCGGCUAACUACGUGCCAGCAGCCGCCGUAA